UUCUCGCAGGUCUUUGAAAAU
rnacentral:piRNA from 1 species